UACGUAGGGUGCAAGCGUUUGUCCGGAAUUAUUGGGCGUAAAGAGCUCGUAGGCGGUCUGUCGCGUCGGCUGUGAAAACUCGGGGCUCAACCCCGAGCCUGCAGUCGAUACGGGCAGACUAGAGUGCUGUAGGGGAGACUGGAAUUCCUGGUGUAGCGGUGAAAUGCGCAGAUAUCAGGAGGAACACCGAUGGCGAAGGCAGGUCUCUGGGCUGUAACUGACGCUGAGGAGCGAAAGCAUGGGGAGCGAACAGG
rnacentral:rRNA from 1 species